rnacentral:RNase_P_RNA from 2 species
AUGAUAUACCGCUCUGUCGCUUUCGGUGUAAACCGGAAGAGGAAAGUCCGGACAACGUAGAGUACCACACCAUCUAACAGAUGGGAUCGCACUUGAGUGCGGUACAGCUUAGUGUCGCAGAAAAUAACCGCCAUGUCUUUGACAAGGUAAGGGUGAAAAUGAGAGGUAAGAGCUCUCGUGGUGGCGUAGUAAUACCUCAUCAGGACAAACCUUGUGGGUUGAAAUGCCAUGUAUAUUCGCAGCCUAAUUUAGGAAAAACUUACUCGGUUUUCUGACAGUAAUGUCACUGCGAAGGGGUAGGCAGCUUAGAUAAAUGACAGAGCACAAACUGAAAAGUGUGUGACAGAAUCCGGCUUAUAGGUAUAUCAUUUUU